rnacentral:lncRNA from 1 species
GUAUCUUAACCCAGGCCACCAGUGUAAGCCAAGUUAACACCAGCCCGAUGCGCAUUAUAAGUGUUGAUUUUGAUCUAGUCGGAAGGGGAAGGGGACAUACCAGCUAGUAAGUUUCUCCUUCUUUCUGCAAGAACGAUCGUUGAUCAUAGCAAUAACGAGAAUGGCCUAGAAAAUUUAAUCCACCAUGCAGAAAACAACAUGUUUCAUCUCAUCAACACUCCAAGGCUCACCCCCAAAAACGAAAUGGUUCCUAUAAUUUCAAAGAUACCAGCAAGUGAUCUUGAAAAUAAUCCUCUAAUAUCUGAAGUCACCAACGCUAUCUAUUCUGUAGAUUAUUGGUUAACCAGUCAUCCAGAUUGGAAUGAAAGAAGGUAGUAGACUCAUUAGGAUGUAUGAUCUUCAUCUAAAGUUGUCUCGCCUGAUGGCAAUCUCUAAGCACAAGGUUGAU